UGGUGGAGCGAUUUGUCUGGUUAAUUCCGAUAACGAACGAGACUCUAGCCUAUUAAAUAGUUCGCCGAUUUUUCGAGUCGGCGUCAACUUCUUAGGGGGACAAGUGGCGUUUAGCCACGCGAGAUUGAGCAAUGACA
rnacentral:rRNA from 1 species